ensembl:lncRNA
AUGUUUCAGCCCAUCAUUUUAUUCAUCCUCAUUCUAGUGUUGUUCUCCUCACUCUCUUAUGCCACCAUUUUUAAACUUGUAUUUCUUUUUACACUCUUUUUUGUCCUGUGAUCACUAUCCAUCCACUCAUUAGCAUAGUCUCGCCCUUUGUUUUGUUUGUUUGUCAAUGUUGUGUAUGUCACCAUGGUUGAAGAAUGACAGGACGGUCACUUUCCAAGCACAGAAGUCUGCAAAACCUUAAUUUCCAAAAAGCUGGAGACUGUUUUAUCCAAGUCGCAUAUGUAUGGCACUCAAGACAAGAGGUUUAUUUUUUUGCAACUAACAACUAUUACACAUCAUAAGAAAACACUGAGCCACUGGAAACUACAUUAACCAGAAGACAUUUCUUUCAUUGAGGACUAUGACUAUCAGACACACUGACGCUUGCUUUGCCACCAAAGGCUUGCAAUGAAAUAUGCAACUGCAGUUUACUACUAAGGGGCACAUUACCAUAUUACCCAGAGUGCCUGCCACUGCACUCUGAAGAUACAGUACAUUGGCUGGAAUGAUUACCUGUCAGAACCAUGUAAAGAGGUAUUGGUGGACUUGCCAAUGUGGUCACUUAAGUGACCUUUCAGGAAUUGCAGCGUAAGAUUCUGAGCACAGGCACACAUACACAGAAGAAUGGCUGCAUUGGAAUUGCACUGUGGGCGGGAGCCUGGGAGUUGUGUGUGGGUUGGAGACAGAGCUGACCUGCUUGACAGUUUUGACUCCGAGAUGCAGGAAUGGGAAGAUCAGCUACAGGACAUGCAGAGGAAGAUUGAAGAGUUGUAUAAUGAGGUCAAAGCACGAAGAGAAGCCAGUGAGAGCAGCACAAACAAUAAAAACCUGGACAUUACUUUGCUUCCUGUCAGCUCUCAAUAUAGCCACCAGGCCAAUGGUUAUCACGAACCUCAUGGUCACCCCAACAACAACCUCCCAUUUCAUCAAUGCAGUGAAAUAAAAGCAGAUCCUUCAGUUAUGCAAAGCCUUGGGUUUCACCACCCCAGUGAAUACUGUAAUUUCUCCAACAAUUACAUGCUUAAUUCCCUGAGCAACGGCAGCCAUUUCCCUGCCAGUUGUCAUGAUCUUGAAAGGCAAGAUGCCACUGUAGACAUACUCAAUGGAUACCUCCAACAGGGCCCGCAUUUUAGGAGGAACCCAGGGAAUCUUGGAGCUCCAAACAGAAUUCAGAACCCCAAGGUAUAUCCAGUUACACACAGUUAUCAAGACAGCAUGAAGACCAGCCUGGUGACAAACAGGACUGCCUUAUGUGUGGUUCUGGAUGAGACUGAUGAGGCUGAGAACAAAAAGAACAAGAAAUCAAGUUGGGGUGACUCCCAAGGCCGCCACGUUAGCUGGAAAGACCCGGUUUCAUCAAAUGACCUUCCCCCUAAAAAUUCAGCUACCAAACUGGCAAUCAGGCAGAGAGAUUCUUCUCCUGUAACCCCUUUUUCCACUUACUAUGAGUCAUCACAGCAACCUGACAGGAAGUGCCUCUUGCUCAGGAAAUCUGGCAGCCCAUCAGUGUUGCGUAAGUUUGGUGCCAUGUUGCAGGAGAAUGAGGGAAAAACCUUGAUAGAGGAUGGUCUUGUGACCAUCGUUGCCUCCUCUGAACCUCCGAGGCAAACCAGCACUCCCAUUUGCCAGAGCAAGUUUGACGCCAGGCGGGCAUCUUCACGUGCACACAUCCAGAAAUGCCUUGCAGACUGUGAUGUACUGGUAGCAGAUCUGGAGCACAGACAAGAGUCUUGGGCAGCUGGUCCUUCUAGACACCUCCUCAAUGGAGACAGAGACAGUGGGAGGGGUGGUUGUGUUCUUGAACAGCAUGGCUUGGCCUAUAACUUAAGCCAGUCACAGACUCACCUUAAUUCGGGGUAUCACAAGUUGGCUUCAAUGUCUAAAGCCCACAAAGCGGGCUUCCAGAGUAAGGACCUAUUCUCUGACUGCCAGAUGGUAGAAACAAUUCUGGGAGUAGGAUCUCAAAACUUCAAUAAGGUACACAGAGGACUUGGUGUUGAUAUGAUGAGACUGGGAAAUGACAACUUGGAGCAACUUCUGGAAAUGAUGGAAAGAGAAAACAACAGAAGUCAGAGGGCCACAUUCACCCAGCAACUGGACAACAAGCAGGUCAACCGUGAGUCAUCUCCUGCACCCAGCAGUAGCCAUUUUUCUCGUCCUGCUCGACCAGCCAAUCAACGCCGUCCAUCCAGAUGGGUUAAGCAUACUCACCCAAGCAAAAUCGCAGACACAUCCAGCCCAACAAGCCCUGGCCUGAAUGCCAAACAAUGGUUGAAUUCAUAUUUCCGGCACACAGAAACUGUCAUCAUGUAAUCAGGAUACAACAAGCUUCAAAGGACACUUUCACCCAAUGGCAUAAACUAAACUUUGACCUUUUGUAGAACACAAUCUACUUUUUUGUAUAUAUAACCAACACCACCACAUCAGCGUAUCUUAUUGCAGCCUGCUAGAAUGGACUAUGGUAUUUUCCUUAAAUGACUUCAAAAGGAUAAUGCUUUCAUUUAACUCUGUGCUGUUUGAAGUGCUUUGGAAAGAAACUCCAGUGGACAUUCUCUGACCUGGUGAAUUUCUGUGCCUGUGAACCCUUCAUUGCCUUUUCUCUUCAUUUCUUUCUGUCAUUCUCAUAAAAUUUUCUAUUCUUUUAUUGUUUUUUAUUUU